rnacentral:rRNA from 1 species
UACGUAGGGUGCGAGCGUUGUCCGGAUUUAUUGGGCGUAAAGAGCUCGUAGGCGGCUCGUCGCGUCGACCGUGAAAACCAGCAGCUUAACUGCUGGCUUGCGGUUGAUACGGGCGGGCUAGAGUUCGGUAGGGGAGACUGGAAUUCCUGGUGUAGCGGUGAAAUGCGCAGAUAUCAGGAGGAACACCGGUGGCGAAGGCGGGUCUCUGGGCCGAUACUGACGCUGAGGAGCGAAAGCGUGGGGAGCGAACAGG